ACCUGGCUGGCUCAGUCGGUAGAGCAUGUGACUCUUAAUCUUGAAAUUGUAAGUUCAAGCCCCACGGUGGGUG
rnacentral:tRNA from 1 species